GUCCCUCCCCCCCACACACACACUGUCCCCAGCAAGAACCAGAGUGAGGUCGGAUGGAGAAAGCAGCAGGUGGUGGCUCCGCUCCUCCACCCAGCUGGUCCCCUCAAGAAGGGAAGUGACUGAUUCCAGAGACCUCCUUCCGGAAUGACCCCAGAGCAAAGAGGUACUUCCAGAACGAUCCCUGCAGAGGGUAAAAGUUGAAUUGGCCUCUUAGGCGCCAAUUGCAAGACCUAGAAGGAUCAAGAGGCUUGGACCAAUCCCUGGAGAGGGGACUGUGAUGUCAGGGAGACCUGAGUUCGAAUUUCUCCAACUGCCUGACAUUAAGCAAACUGCUGAAUUUUUCCGACUGUCUCGGUCCACUCCCCUUCAAAAUGAGACUCUAGAUACUACCUCCUGGGGCGGUGGUAGACACUGAACCCAGGUCGCCUGCGCUCGGAACCGCGCGCUCAGCUGCCACGUGCUCGAGACGCGCCCACACAGCGGAGAAACAAAGACAACCAAGCGGCAGGGCUGCCAGCAGCCUCCUCGACAUUUAAGAAAUGAAAUUCCAUAGCUGGGGGUCGAUCGAGGGUGAACAGGCGAGCGGCCACCGCUCGUGGACUGAGCGCCCGGCACCGGUUGCCUGGCCACUCCUCCCGUAUUCCCCUUCCCGUACCCACUUCCCGCUGGGGCCACCAAGACCAUAGUCUCCUUGCUGAGGGAGCAGCUCGGGGCGGCACGUGGUGCUCCCCCCUACAUACCCGUUAGGUAUCGUUGCUUGCAAAAGCCCCACCGGCUGAGCGGCUGGCUGUUGGGGGAGGGGAGGCCUGCAAGAUUUUUUUAAGGUGCAAUUAUAAAUAAAGCCCAAAGAUCGC